rnacentral:tRNA from 1 species
GAGGGUAUAGCUCAACCAUAGAGCGCAUGCUUAGCAUGCAUGAGGUCUUGGGUUCAAUCCCCAGUACUGCCU